UUGGGUGGGAGAGGACCCCUCCCCGUCCCAGGCGGCUCGCGUCUUGUCCCAGGAAGAGAAACGGCCGUUAACGGUCGCCGCUCGCGGCCCGAACAUUCCCAAUCCCAGCGGGAAUUCGAGCGCCUGACCUGCGCAGCUGGCGCCCGCCCACCCCCCGCUGUGAGGGGAACACGCUACCGCUGCCGCCGCCUCUCCCAUCCUCACGAACCGCCGUAAAUCCCCGUGGAAGGUGAAAACGUGCUGAAUAUAGAGAAAGACGACGGGAGGGGCAGGGGGUCAGGGAAACGGGCUCCGACAGAACAGGACAAACAACGCCGGAUGGUUAUAAGCCUGCACACGGCGGUGAACGCCCCGACAGGACAACAUCAACGGCUGUUCAACACCGUCCAAUCAUCGCUCGCAACGUCAUUGAAUGCGUCAUUCGAGACAAGAACCAAUGAGCAGCUCCACAAGGUUCAGUAAUACCUCAGCAGCGUCAUUCAAAAAAAGUUGCAGCAAUGCGCGGCAAUGUUAUUACACACCUUUGGAAAGGAUGGGCCUCUUGGUCCGGGGUAAGGACGCUGGAUUUUGCUUCACAACUGGGACCCCCAAAGGAUGGCAACAUUGACGGAAUGAAAUAAAUGAAGAGGUUUCAAAAUAUAUAUUGGACAUCCUGUAAUUUUAAUGUUGAAGUGAAUCAAAUAAGGUAUUGAUCAACCCAACCAUUGGGUCUCAUACUAAUUGCUGGAAGUUGCUUAUUAAAUGCACUGACGUCCUUUCUUUUAAUGGAGUCAGGAGGCAGCUGGUUUGACACAGCAACCCUAUAGUUGUAAGACCUGACCAUCAAAAUUGCUUAGGUCUUACAGCAGCAAUUAUGACAAGAGAUACAUGUGUUCUGUCCACCAUCUGGCUAUUUUGUAACAUUGCUUAAAAGAUUAUUGAAUCAAGCACUUCGAUCAGCCCAUUGUCUGCACCAAAUGUGAUAUAAAGAUGACUGCUGUCACAUCUUAUGUAACCUGAAUCUUAGAAGUGCAUCACUGCUGCAAUCAUGUGAAUAAUACCACUUUUUAACUGUUAUGCUUUCUCUAAUAAAGAGUCAAUUUUCACCAACUAAAAUCUUACCAGUAAUAGUUUAAUUAAAGACUUUGUAGAAGGUGGAGUUCCUUGUAUUGGCAUGGUGUGAAAUCAAAUACAGAUCCUGGAGAUAAAGGAAAAGUGCUCUUUUCCAAACCGUGUUUGUACAAUAAAUUUUUUAAAAAUUGCCAGAUCCCAGUCUGCUGGGUCAAUCCUGAUUUGUCAAAGCUCAGGAUUUUUUUGCCUAAAAGCUUCUGCUCUCAAAGGAAAAAUUGAAUUAAAGACACUAUUCAAAAUCCACUUACUUGAUCAAGCAUUUAAUCAAUUACCCUGAUUCUCCCAAUGUGGCUUAAUGUUACAUUUUGUUUUAUAAUAUUUUUGUGAUGCAUCUCUAGGUAUUUUGUUAUCGUAGAAGUGCUAUGUAAAUACAAGUUGUUACUUCUAAAACAAAACCUACUAAAAUACAGCACUUUGGUGAUUUUCUGACUCACUAGAAGUCACUUGUGUGAAACAGAAUUUUGAUUUUAAAAAAACUCACCAUUCUAUGUGUAACACCACUGGCAAACAAUUGAGACACAAAUUGUAGUUUUCAAUUUCUUAAGCAUAAUUUCUGUCAGUGUGCUGAUUAAGUAAUAUGGUAUUCAAAAUAAAAAAGUUUUUCAAGGUUCAGCGAUGAUCGUAAG